rnacentral:tRNA from 1 species
AACUUAAUAAGUUAAUUAAACUUUUAACCUUCAAAGUUAAAAAUGGGUAUCCUUAAGUUG